rnacentral:rRNA from 1 species
AUACGGAGGGUCCAAGCGUUAUCCGGAUUCAUUGGGUUUAAAGGGUCCGCAGGCGGGAAAGUAAGUCAGUGGUGAAAGCCUACAGCUCAACUGUAGAACUGCCAUUGAUACUGUUUUUCUUGAGUAUAGAUGAAGUGGGCGGAAUAUAUCAUGUAGCGGUGAAAUGCAUAGAUAUGAUAUAGAACACCGAUUGCGAAGGCAGCUCACUAAACUAUUACUGACGCUCAGGGACGAAAGCGUGGGGAGCGAACAGGAUUAGAAACCCUAGUAGUCC